UACGUAGGGACCAAGCGUUGUUCGGAUUUACUGGGCGUAAAGGGCUCGUAGGCGGCCAACUAAGUCAGACGUGAAAUCCCUCGGCUUAACCGGGGAACUGCGUCUGAUACUGGAUGGCUUGAGUUCGGGAGAGGGAUGCGGAAUUCCAGGUGUAGCGGUGAAAUGCGUAGAUAUCUGGAGGAACACCGGUGGCGAAGGCGGCAUCCUGGACCGACACUGACGCUGAGGAGCGAAAGCGUGGGGAGCAAACAGGG
rnacentral:rRNA from 1 species